UGAGAGAGAUUCUGUCGUGAGUCUCCUGAAGAGCCGAGGUCAGCGCCGCGACCCUUGACCUUUGACCUCAGACACAUCGUCCCUGCAGUGCUGGCGAUGAAACACGUCUAGUGAAGGAGGGAGACAUGUUUACACAGGACAAUGCAGUUCUUUGAAGUACCCUGGAGUACCAUGAAAAUACCAUGGCCUGAUGUUGCACGUAUGGAUGAACCAGCGAGAGCUCGAGAUAAAGGCGUCAAUAAGAAAUGGAGAAUCAAGACAGAAACUAAAAGACUCAGGAAGUCAGUGAGGGAAGUUUAGUGGUUUCUUGCGUCACAGACACUUUACACUGACGCUUGUUGCCGGUGCAGAGAGAAAGGUAAGGACUGGAGGGUUUUCUUAAUUCUUCUGUGUUUUUCUCCUCUCAAUCUUUAACUUUAGCUUUAGCUUUAGCUGUAAAGAUGCCUGAUCGAGCGGCGUGUGAUGGGAUCCGCUCAUGUAGGGGGAAAGUCCUGAGUUCGUUUGAUGAUGUGAACGUGAAGCUCUCAUGGCCUUCAGAUGUGAUCAGUCAUUUCCGCUAGAGCACCAGAGGCCGAGAGGAACCAACUCGCUGAAAAAUCAGUCGAACAUGAUGCGAAACCCUCCAGAGGAGUUUGAGACGCAAAAACCGUGGCUGAUUUUUGAGUCGAUCUCCUGCGAUACUUGCUGAAAGAUAUGAAGAUCAUGUUGAAAUUGUGAGGGUGUGGCUUUGAACUGGUGCAAAACUCACGAACGGAGAAGAGGAAACGGUGGCACGCGACCCAACCCAGCGCUUCGUGAUGUGAAGGGUUUCUACAGGAGAGUGUGUCAUGGUUCAAAACUACAACUCCAGCAGAUGAAAUGUUGUUUAUAUGCAGGUUUGCUCUCCGUUUAGAUGUUGUCCUGUUU